rnacentral:rRNA from 1 species
CCUACGGGAGGCAGCAGUGAGGAAUAUUGGUCAAUGGACGAGAGUCUGAACCAGCCAAGUAGCGUGAAGGAUGACUGCCCUAUGGGUUGUAAACUUCUUUUAUAUGGGAAUAAAACGAUUCACGUGUGGGAUCUUGUAUGUACCAUAUGAAUAAGGAUCGGCUAAAUCCGUGCCAGCAGCCGCGGUAAUACGGAGGAGACGAGCGUUAUCCGGAUUUAUUGGGUUUAAAGGGAGCGUAGGUGGCUUGUUAAGGCAGUUGUGAAAGUUUGCGGCUCAACCGUAAAAUAGCAGUUGAAACUGGCAGUCUUGAGUGCGGUAGAGGUGGGCGGAAUUCGUGGUGUAGCGGUGAAAUGCUUAGAUAUCACGAAGAACUCCGAUUGCGAAGGCAGUUCACUGGACUGCAACUGACACUGAGGCUCGAAAGUGUGGGUAUCAAACAGGAGUAGAUACCCCGGUAGUC